rnacentral:misc_RNA from 1 species
AAGUCGUAACAAGGUUUCCGUAGGUGAACCUGCGGAAGGAUCAUUACAGAGUUCAUGCCUGAAAAGGUAGACCUCCCACCCUUGUGUAUUUAUACUUUGUUGCUUUGGUGAAGUGCGUGACACAUCGUCACGCCUCAGCCUUGCUGAGAACCCUUCGCCAGAGGAUACCAAAAUUCUGAUUAUUAAUGUCGUCUGAGUACUAUAUAAUAGUUAAAACUUUCAACAACGGAUCUCUUGGUUCUG